AUCGCUUCUCGGCCUUUUGGCUAAGAUCAAGUGUAGAAUGGAUGAAAACGUAAUUGCUACCUCUC
rnacentral:sRNA from 1 species